UGUGAUCAAGCUACUAAGUGCAAACGGUGGAUGCCUUGGUGCCAAGAGGCGAUGAAGGACGUAGCAAGUUGCGAUAAGCCACGGGAAGCCGCAAGCAGGCGUUGAUCCGUGGAUCUCCGAAUGGGACAACCCAGCCGUCGUAACGGGCGGUUAUCGACCGGAUGAAUUCAUAGUCCGGCGAGGCGAAACGGGGUGAAGUGAAACAUCUCAGUAACCCCAGGAAAAGAAAACGAAGCGAUUCCGUCAGUAGUGGCGAGCGAAAGCGGAACAGCCUAAACCGGAGGGACUUGUCCUUCCGGGGUUGCGGGACCUUGACGUGGGAGGUCAGACGUGAGCUUAACGGCCUGGAAAGGCCGGCCAUAGACCGUGACAGCCGGGUGAGCGAAGCGCGAGGCCCCCUAGAGGUAUCCCAAGUAAUGCGGUGCACGUGAAACUCCGCAUGAAUCCGUCCGGACCACCGGAUAAGGCUAAAUACUCCUUGGCAACCGAUAGUGAACUAGUACCGCGAGGGAAAGGUGAAAAGAACCCCGGCUAGGGGAGUGAAAUAGUUACUGAAACCGAUUGCAUACAAUGUGUAGGAGCCCGCAAGGGUGACUGCUUGCCUUUUGCAUAAUGAGUCUGCGAGUUAUUGUCAGUGGCCAGCUUAAGCCCCUCUGGGGUGAAGGCGAAGGGAAACCGAGUACGAAUGGUGCGCCAAGUCGCUGGCAAUAGACCCGAAGCGGAGGUGAUCUACUCUUGAGCAGGUUGAAGCCUGGGUAACACCAGGUGAAGGACCGAACUCGUGGAUGUUGAAAAAUCCUGAGAUGACUUGAGAGUAGGAGCGAAAGACUAAUCAAACCCCGUGAUAGCUGGUUCUCUCCGAAAUAGCUUGAGGGCUAGCGUCGGGAAAGUACUCCAGGGAGGUAGAGCACUGGAUGGCUUAGGGUCCCCACCAGGAUGCCAAAACCAAUCAAACUCCGAAUGCCCUGGAAAACAUUACCCCGGCAGUCAGGCUGCGAGGGAUAAGCUUCGUAGCCGAGAGGGCAACAGCCCUGACCAUCAGCUAAGGUGCCUAAAUGUGGUUAAGUGGAAAGGAUGUGACGUUGCUUAGACAGUGAGGAUGUUGGCUUAGAGGCAGCCACCAUUUAAACAGUGCGUAAUAGCUGACUCAUCGAGCGAUGUCGCGCCGAAAAUGAUUGGCGAUCAAACCGCAUACCGAAGCUAUGGAUGCUGGAGCUCUUUGGAGCGCCAGCGUGGUAGGAGAGCGUAAUCAGUGCAGCGAAGCCCGACGGAAACGGACGGUGGAGCGCUGAUUAGUGAGAAUGCAGACAUGAGUAGCGAUAAACCAGAUGAGAAUUCUGGUCGCCGUAAACCUAAGGUUUCCUGGGGCAGGUUCGUCCUCCCAGGGUUAGCCGGGAGCUAAGGUGAGGCCGUAAGGCGUAGCCGAUGCACAGCGGGUUAAUAUUCCCGCGCCGGCUUGGGUUAAGGCCGUGGCUGACGCAGAGAGAAAAGUGGCCAAGUCAUUGAAAGACAGAGCUUAGGGGCGACCCGAAGCGUACCACCGGACAAUCUGCCUAGAAAAGGCCGCGGUUGUUCCCCAGGCCGCCCGUACCGUAAACCGACACAGGUGGGUGAGUCGAAUAGACUAAGGCGCGCGAGAGAAACCUCUCUAAGGAACUCGGCAAAUUAGCCCCGUAACUUCGGGAAAAGGGGUGCUCCACGCAAGUGGAGCCGCAGUAAAUUGCGUUUAGCGACUGUUUAACAAAAACACAGCACUCUGCAAAGUCGUCAAGACGACGUAUAGGGUGUGACACGUGACCAAUGCGGAAAGAUCAAGGCAAGAGGUUAGCCGCAAGGCGAAGCUUCGAACCUAAGUCCCCGUGAAUGUCGGCCGUAACUAUAACGGUCCUAAGGUAGCGAAAUUCCUUGUCGGGUAAGUUCCGACCUGCACGAAUCGUGUAACGACUGAACGACUGUCUCGGAGAGGAUCUCGGCGAAAUUGUAGCUGCGGUGAAGAUGCCGCAUGCCCGCAGUAGGACGGAAAGACCCUAUGCACCUUUACUGUAAGCUCGUAUUGUGUUCUGAUUAAGGAUGCUUAGCGUAGGUGGGAGGCUUUGAAGGCAUGGCUUCGGUCGUGCUGGAGCCGCAAUGUGAAACACCACUCUUUUUUAAUUAGGAUUCUAACCCCGAUUCCUGUUAGCCAGGCGGGGGACAGUGCGUGCGGGUCAGUUUGACUGGGGCGGUUUCCUCCAAAAGUGUAACGGAGGAGCGCUAAGCUUGGCUCAGCACGGUUGGCAACUGUGCGUCGAGCGUAUGGGUAGAAGCCAGGUUGACUGCAAGACCAACAAGUCGAGCAGAUGCGAAAGCAGGCCCAAGUGAUCCGAUGGUUGAAUGUGGAAUUGCCAUCGCUCAACGGACAAAAGGUACGCUAGGGAUAACAGGCUGAUCGAUUCCAAGAGUUCACAUCGACGAAUCGGUUUGGCACCUCGAUGUCGGCUCAUCGCAUCCUGGGGCUGGAGAAGGUCCCAAGGGUCCGGCUGUUCGCCGGUUAAAGCGGUACGCGAGCUGGGUUCAGAACGUCGUGAGACAGUUCGGUCCUUAUCCACUGUGGGCGAAGGAAACUUGAGGGGUUCAUUCUUUAGUACGAGAGGACCGAGAAUGACGCACUUCUGGUGUGGCAGUUGUUCCGUCAGGGGCAUCGCUGCGUAGCCAUGUGCGGAAGGGAUAAGCGCUGAAAGCAUCUAAGUGCCAAGCCCAUCCCAAGAUAUGGUUUCCCGGCCGCAAGGCCCUAAAGACCCCAGGUAGACCACCUGGUUGAUAGGUCAGGCGUGCAAGCGCUGCGAAGCGUUUAGCGGACUGAUACUAAUCGGUCGUGAGGCUUGAUCGCUUUUUUU
rnacentral:rRNA from 1 species